rnacentral:rRNA from 1 species
CCAACCUGCCCACCACUUGGGGAUAACCUUGCGAAAGUAAGACUAAUACCCAAUGAUAUCUCUAGAAGACAUCUGAAAGAGAUUAAAGAUUUAUCGGUGAUGGAUGGGGAUGCGUCUGAUUAGCUUGUUGGCGGGGUAACGGCCCACCAAGGCAACGAUCAGUAGGGGUUCUGAGAGGAAGGUCC